GCCUGUAGCUCAGCGGUUAGAGCAGAGGACUCAUAAUCCUUUGGUCGAGAGUUCAAAUCUCUCUGGGCC
rnacentral:tRNA from 1 species